GCCGGGUGCGGUGGCGCGCGCCUGUAAUCCAAGCUACCGGGAGGCUGAGGCUGGCGGAUCGUUUGAGCUCAGGAGCUCUGAGCUGUAGCGGACUAUGCCGAUCGGGUGUCCGCACUAAGUUCGGCAUCGAUAUGGUGCUCCUGGGGGAGCUCGGGACCACCAGGUCGCCUAAGGAGGGGUGCACCGGCCCAGGUCGGAAACGAAGCAGGUCAAAGCCCCCGUGCCGCUCAGUAGUGGGAUCGCGCCUGUGAAUAGACGCUGUAGUGCAGCCUGAGUAAUACAGCGGGACCCAGUCUUUU
rnacentral:SRP_RNA from 1 species